AUUACAAAGGAGAUCCAUGAUUUCUUGCAGCCUGUCAUGUCCUCAGCGUCCUUGACGCCCAAAUGGAGUCUCCUGGCAGUCUGCUAAAACAUGGAUCCAUUUGCCUGUUCUCUCCUCAGAGCAUAACUGCACAGCUGUGACCCUUGGCCGGUCCUAGCCACUGAUAACUCAAAGCCGGCUGCGUCCAUUUUAGGUUUAGGCAGUGGCGAAAGAGAUGAACUGUAAAGUAGCUUGUAGGAAAAGGAAUCAGGACUGUAAGCGUAAAUCCCAUUAGAAAAUGGCACGAUGUUGGAGGAGUAAACUAAAAUUCAAUGGAACAGAUAUUAGGGUUCAUGUGAAAAAU
rnacentral:lncRNA from 1 species